UACAGAGGUGGCAAGCGUUGUUCGGAAUUACUGGGCGUAAAGAGCUCGUAGGUGGUUUGUCGCGUUGUUCGUGAAAACUCACAGCUUAACUGUGGGCGUGCGGGCGAUACGGGCAGACUUGAGUACUGCAGGGGAGACUGGAAUUCCUGGUGUAGCGGUGGAAUGCGCAGAUAUCAGGAGGAACACCGGUGGCGAAGGCGGGUCUCUGGGCAGUAACUGACGCUGAGGAGCGAAAGCGUGGGGAGCGAACAGG
rnacentral:rRNA from 1 species